rnacentral:rRNA from 1 species
CCCUUAGAUGUUCUGGGCCGCACGCGCGCUACACUGAUGCAUUCAACGAGCCUAUCCUUGACCGACAGGUCCGGGUAAUCUUUGAAUCUGCAUCGUGACGGGGAUAGAUUAUUGCAAUUAUUAAUCUUCAACGAGGAAUGCCUAGUAGGCGCAAGUCAUCAGCUUGCGUCGAUUACGUCCCUGCCCUUUGUACACACCGCCCGUCGCUCCUACCGAUUGGGUGUGCUGGUGAAAUGUUCGGAUCGGCCGUUUGUCGCGGUUUCCGCGGCUCGUGGCUGAGAAGUUCAUUAACCCCUCCCACCUAGAGGAAGGAGAAGUCGUAACA